rnacentral:rRNA from 1 species
GCCUACGGCCAUUCCCAACCUGGCAACGCACCGAUCUCGUCUGAUCUCGGAAGCUAAGCAGGUCGGGGCCGGUUAGUACUUGGAUGGGAGACCUAUGGGAAUACCGGGUGCUGUAGGCU